rnacentral:rRNA from 1 species
UACGAGAGGCCCAAACGUUAUUCGGAAUUACUGGGCUUAAAGAGUCCGUAGGCGGCGCAGAAAGUAGGGUGUGAAAGCCCUCGGCUCAACCGAGGAAUUGCGCUCUAAACUACUGUGCUUGAGGAACCUAGAGGUGAGCGGAACUGAUGGUGGAGCGGUGAAAUGCGUUGAUAUCCUAAGGAACACCCGUGGCGAAAGCGGCUCACUGGGUCUCUUCUGACGCUGAGGCACGAAAGCCAGGGUAGCGAACGGG